rnacentral:rRNA from 1 species
CCCUUAGAUGUUCUGGGCUGCACGCGCGCUACACUGAAGCUAUCAACACGUUUUCCCUCCCUGAGAAGGGCGGGUAACCUUUUGAAUCAGCUUCGUGGUAGGGAUCGGGGCUUGCAAUUGUUCCCCGUGAACCAGGAAUUCCUAGUAGACGCGAGUCAUAAGCUCGCAUCGGUUAAGUCCCUGCCCUUUGUACACACCGCCCGUCGCUACUACCGAUUGAACGUUUUAGUGAGGCAUUUGGACCGACGCAUCUCAGUUUAACCGCUGGUUUGUGUUGGAAAGACUUCCAAACUUGAGCGUUUAGAGGAAGUAAAAGUCGUAACA